CCUACGGGCGGCUGCAGUGGGGAAUUUUGCACAAUGGGCGAAAGCCUGAUGCAGCGACGCCGCGUGAGCGAAGAAGGUCUUCGGAUCGUAAAGCUCUGUUUUAAGGGAAGAUAAUGACGGUACCUUAAGAGAAAGCCCCGGCUAACUACGUGCCAGCAGCCGCGGUAAUACGUAGGGGGCAAGCGUUAUCCGGAAUCACUGGGCGUAAAGGGUGCGUAGGCGGCCAUUAAAGUCAGAGGUGAAAUCCCAGGGCUCAACCCUGGUAAGCCUUUGAAACUUAAUGGCUUGAGUACAGGAGAGGAGAGUAGAAUUCCUAGUGUAGCGGUGAAAUGCGUAGAUAUUAGGAGGAAUACCAGUGGCGAAGGCGACUCUCUGGACUGUAACUGACGCUGAGGCACGAAAGCGUGGGUAGCGAACAGGCUUAGAUACCCUGGUAGUC
rnacentral:rRNA from 1 species